rnacentral:rRNA from 1 species
GACGAACGCUGGCGGCGUGCUUAACACAUGCAAGUCGAGCGGUAAGGCCCUUUCGGGGGUACACGAGCGGCGAACGGGUGAGUAACACGUGGGUGACCUGCCUUUAGCUCUGGGAUAAGCCUGGGAAACCGGGUCUAAUACCGGAUAUGACUCCGCGGCGCAUGUUGUGGGGUGGAAAGCCUUGUGCGGCUGGGAGAUGGGCCCGCGGCCUAUCAGCUUGUUGGUGGGGUGAUGGCCUACCAAGGCGACGACGGGUAGCCGGCCUGAGA